CAAGUAGCUGAAUGGAUAACGCGUUGGUGUUUCAAGCGAAAGGUACUGGGUUCGAGUCCCAGAGUGAACA
rnacentral:tRNA from 1 species